CCCUACGGGGUGCCCAUUAUCUUCGGGCCGGCAGCGAUAAUGCAGUGGAAACCCUGGUCAUGGACUAUUUACGGCGUCAGGGCCUCGUAAAAUGAUAAAAAUAUUGAAAUUAUUUAUAGAUGUGUUAUGUUCGUUUCUGAGGACUAUUUGAAUGACCUGGCUGACACCCAUGAUGGCGAUCAUUGCAGGGCUGAUCACAGUACCGUUGCUGGUGCUGUUAUAUUUCCUUAAGCUCAAACGCCGUCAGGUCCACAUCAGCAGCACGCUGCUCUGGAAGCGGGCGGUGCAGGACCUCCAGGUGAAUGCCCCGUUUCAACGGCUCCGGCGAAAUAUUCUUCUGCUGCUUCAACUGCUGGCAUUGCUCCUGGUGGUGGUGGUUCUGGGUUCCCCGGUGGUGAAUUGGCGGGGGGGC
rnacentral:rRNA from 1 species